rnacentral:misc_RNA from 1 species
UCCCCGUUACCGGGGCAGUCUGACUAGAAAAAUACAACUAAUCAUAAGGGUUGCGCUCGUUGAAGGACUUAACCUAACAUCUCACGACACGAGCUGACGACGGCCAUGCAACACCUGUCACUUGGUUCCCGAAGGCACUCUCGGCUUUCGCCAAAAUUCCAAGGAUGUCAAACCCUGGUAAGGUUCUACGCUUAACAUCGUAUUAAACAACACGCUCCACCGCUUGUGCGGGUCCCCGUCAAUUCCUUUGAGUUUUAAUCUUGCGACCGUACUCCCCAGGCGGGAUGCUUAACGCGUUAGCUUCGCUACUGAACGGGUCGAUACGUCCAACAGCUAGCAUCCAUCGUUUACGGCGUGGACUAC